rnacentral:rRNA from 1 species
UGGUGGAGUGAUUUGUCUGGUUAAUUCCGUUAACGAACGAGACCUCGACCUGCUAAAUAGUUUGGUGAAUGCUUCGGCAUUUAUUUACGACUUCUUAGAGGGACUAUCGGUGAUUUAGCCGAUGGAAGUUCGAGGCAAUAACA